AUGGACCCUUCCAUCCCUUUUUCCCGUGCAUAUGCAUCGGACUCGGAUGACGAUGGUCCUGAUGAACAAGUUGAUGCGGAGGGGUUCACGGUGAAGGAGGCCGAAGCUUUCGAGAAGGUAUUUGGUCGGGAUCAUCGGACUACAUUGUUCAAGGAUGUUAGUCUCGCGAAUGAAGCCGUGGUAGAUGGUGGCCAAUGUGUACCUCUUGGGGUUAGGCCAAGCUCUUAUCGUGAUUUGGGAGACGACAAGAACCGCAUUGCUAAAGGUUCUAAGUUCGACACCUUCUUGAAAUUGAAGAUGUGGCUCGACAACUACUCGGUUACGCAUUAUCGUCCACAUAAGGUGGUGCACUCGGACGUCAAAGUGCGCUACACGGUUGCAUGUGCAUGUGAAGAUGAAAUAUGUCCAUGGAUUGUGCGUGCAAGACCAUGGUAA
rnacentral:rRNA from 1 species